UCAGUGUAAAGUGUUCUAAGCUGAUGGCUUC
rnacentral:piRNA from 1 species